AGCAGCCGCGGUAAUUCCAGCUCCAAUAGCGUAUAUUAAAGUUGUUGCAGUUAAAAAGCUCGUAGUUGAAUUUCGGGGUUAGUAGGUUGGUCAUGCCUCUGGUAUGUACUGGUCUCACUGAUUCCUCCUUCCUGAUGAGCCGUAAUGCCAUUAAUUUGGUGUUGCGGGGAAUUUGGACUGUUACUUUGAAAAAAUUAGAGUGUUUAAAGCAAGCUAACGCUUGAAUACAUUAGCAUGGAAUAAUGAAAUAGGACGUUCGAUCCUAUUUUGUUGGUUUCUAGGAUUGACGUAAUGAUUAAUAGGGAUAGUUGGGGGCAUUAGUAUUCAAUUGUCAGAGGUGAAAUUCUUGGAUUUAUUGAAGACUAACUACUGCGAAAGCAUUUGCCAAGGAUGUUUUCAUUAAUCAAGAACGAAAGUUAGGGGAUCGAAGACGAUCAGAUACCGUCGUAGUCUUAACCAUAAACUAUGCCGACUAGGGAUCGGAUGAUGUUAAUUUUUUAAUGACUCAUUCGCGUCCG
rnacentral:rRNA from 1 species